rnacentral:rRNA from 1 species
GAUGAACGCUGGCGGCGUGCCUAAUACAUGCAAGUCGAGCGAACGGACGAGAAGCUUGCUUUUCUGAUGUUAGCGGCGGACGGGUGAGUAACACGUGGAUAACCUACCUAUAAGACUGGGAUAACUUCGGGAAACCGGAGCUAAUACCGGAUAAUAUUUUGAACCGCAUGGUUCAAAAGUGAAAGACGGUCUUGCUGUCACUAAUGGAGGGAUCCGCGCGGCUUUAGCUAGUUGGUAAGGUAACGGCUUACCAAGGCAACGAUGCAUAGCCGACCUGAGAGGGUGAUCGGCCACACUGGAACUGAGACACGGUCCAGACUCCUACGGGAGGCAGUAGUAGGGAAUCUUCCGCAAUGGGCGAAAGCCUGACGGAGCAACGCCGCGUGAGUGAUGAAGGUCUUCGGAUCGUAAAACUCUGUUAUUAGGGAAGAACAUAUGUGUAAGUAACUGUGCACAUCUUGACGGUACCUAAUCAGAAAGCCACGGCUAACUACGUG